AAUCAACGCUGGCGGCGUGCCUAACACAUGCAAGUCGAACGAGAAAGGGGCUUCGGCCCUGAGUAAAGUGGCGCACGGGUGAGUAACACGUGACUAACCUACCCUGGAGUGGGGAAUAACUUCGAGAAAUCGAGGCUAAUACCGCAUAACACCUACGGGUCAAAGGAGCAAUUCGCUUCAGGAGGGGGUCGCGGCAGAUUAGUUAGUUGGCAGGGUUAGGGCCUACCAAGACAGUGAUCUGUAUCCGGCCUGAGAGGGCGCACGGACACACUGGAACUGAAACACGGUCCAGACUCCUACGGGAGGCAGCAGUGGGGAAUUUUGCGGAUGGGGGAAACCCUGACGCAGCAACGCCGCGUGGAGGAUGAAGUCUCUUGGGACGUAAACUCCUUUCGACCGGGACGAUAAUGACGGUACCGGAAGAAGAAGCCCCGGCUAACUUCGUGCCAGCAGCCGCCGUAACAC
rnacentral:rRNA from 1 species